rnacentral:rRNA from 1 species
UGCAAGUCGAGCGGCAGCGGGCCUUCGGGUGCCGGCGAGCGGCGGACGGGUGAGUAAUACGUGGGAAUCUGCCUAUAGGUGGGGGAUAGCCCGGAGAAAUCCGGAUUAAUACCGCAUAAUACCUGAGGGUUAAAACGGAGGAUCGCAAGACUUCGUGCCUAUAGAUGAGCCCACGUCAGAUUAGCUAGUUGGUAGGGUAAAGGCCUACCAAGGCGACGAUCUGUAGCUGGCCUGAGAGGGUGGCCAGCCACACUGGAACUGAGACACGGUCCAGACUCCUACGGGAGGCAGCAGUGGGGAAUAUUGGACAAUGGGCGCAAGCCUGAUCCAGCCAUGCCGCGUGUGUGAAGAAGGCCUUCGGGUUGUAAAGCACUUUAAGUUGGGAGGAAGGUUGCUUGGCUAAUAUCCAAGCGAAUUGACGUUACCAACAGAAUAAGCACCGGCUAAUUCCGUGCCAGCAGCCGCGGUAAUACGGAAGGUGCAAGCGUU